rnacentral:rRNA from 1 species
AUUGAACGCUGGCGGCAUGCUUUACACAUGCAAGUCGAGCGGCAGCGCGGGGGCAACCCUGGCGGCGAGCGGCGGACGGGUGAGUAAUGCAUCGGAACGUAUCCCGUAGUGGGGGACAACCCAGCGAAAGCUGGGCUAAUACCGCAUAUGCUCUACGGAGGAAAGCAGGGGACCUGAAAGGGCCUUGUGCUAUGGGAGCGGCCGAUGUCCGAUUAGCUAGUUGGGAGGGGUAAAGGCUUACCAAGGCGACGAUCGGUAGCUGGUCUGAGAGGAUGAUCAGCCACACUGGGACUGAGACACGGCCCAGACUCCUACGGGAGGCAGCAGUGGGGAAUUUUGGACAAGUGGGGGCAACCCUGAUCCAGCCAUGCCGCGUGCGGGAAGAAGG